CGGACUCAUAUUGAAACCUAGUGAUUUAUGAGUUAGUGGCGGACGGGUGAGUAACGCGUGGAUAACCUGCCGUAUACCGGGGGAUAACACUUGGAAAUAGGUGCUAAUACCGCAUAAGCGCACGGCUCCGCAUGGGGCAGUGUGAAAAACUCCGGUGGUAUACGAUGGAUCCGCGUCUGAUUAGCUAGUUGGCGGGGUAACGGCCCACCAAGGCAGCGAUCAGUAGCCGGCCUGAGAGGGUGGACGGCCACAUUGGGACUGAGACACGGCCCAAACUCCUACGGGAGGCAGCAGUGGGGAAUAUUGCACAAUGGGGGAAACCCUGAUGCAGCGACGCCGCGUGAGUGAAGAAGUAUCUCGGUACGUAAAGCUCUAUCAGCAGGGAAGAAAAUGACGGUACCUGACUAAGAAGCCCCGGCUAACUACGUGCCAGCAGCCGCGGUAAUACGUAGGGGGCAAGCGUUAUCCGGAUUUACUGGGUGUAAAGGGAGCGUAGACGGCAGCACAAGUCUGGAGUGAAAUCCCGGGGCUUAACCCCGGAACUGCUUUGGAAACUGUGCGGCUGGAGUGCAGGAGGGGUAAGCGGAAUUCCUAGUGUAGCGGUGAAAUGCGUAGAUAUUAGGAGGAACACCGGUGGCGAAGGCGGCUUACUGGACUGUAACUGACGUUGAGGCUCGAAAGCGUGGGGAGCAAACAGGAUUAGAUACCCUGGUAGUCCACGCCGUAAACGAUGAUUACUAGGUGUCGGGGGAUCAAGGUCCUCCGGUGCCGGCGCAAACGCAUUAAGUAAUCCACCUGGGGAG
rnacentral:rRNA from 1 species